rnacentral:lncRNA from 1 species
CCCCAGCAAGCUAUGAAGAUUUGGUUUAUGUCUAACAACUUGUACAACAAGAUAAACUUAGAUCCAAAAGGAUUGCAAUCCAGAUAAUUGUUUGACAUGUAAAGUCGAUAAGAUGAGUCAGUGCCAAUUAUCAUGUUUUCGUCACUCUUAGAUGAUAUGUACAAUAAAAGGCAACUUUGAUGACCACUCCAAAAUUACAUUUGUAUGUAGUGCCACCAAACACAACACACCAAAUAAUCAGUUUGAUAAGCAUCAAAUCACUUUAAAAAAAUAAAAGCUAUAAUGAAAAGAAACCUAACCAUGGUAGCUAUAAAAAGGAUGCAAUAUGUAGACUCCAUACCAUCAUCCAUCCUUCACACAACUAGAGCACAAGUAUCAAAUCCAAUUAAGUAGUAGCCAACACAAAUCCACCAUGAAGACCUUAUUCAUCCUAACAAUCCUUGCGAUGGCAACAACUAUCGCCACCGCGAAUAUGCAGGUCGACCCCAGCGGCCAAGUACAAUGGCCACAACAACAACCAUUCCGCCAGCCCCAACAACCAUUCUACCAGCAACCACAACACACAUUUCCCCAACCCCAACAAACAUUCCCCCAUCAACCACAACAACAAUUUCCCCAGCCCCAGCAACCACAACAACAAUUUCCGCAGCCCCAGCAACCACAACAACCAUUUCCCCAGCCCCAACAAGCCCAACUACCAUUUCCCCAACAACCACAACAACCAUUCCCCCAGCCUCAACAACCCCAACAACCAUUUCCCCAGUCACAGCAACCACAACAACCUUUUCCCCAGCCCCAACAACCGCAACAAUCAUUCCCCCAGCAACAACAACCGUUGAUUCAGCCAUAUCUACAACAACAGAUGAACCCUUGCAAGAAUUACCUCUUACAGCAAUGCAACCCUGUGUCAUUGGUGUCAUCCCUCGUGUCAAUGAUCUUGCCACGAAGUGAUUGCCAGGUGAUGCAGCAACAAUGUUGCCAACAACUAGCACAGAUUCCUCGCCAGCUCCAGUGUGCAGCCAUCCAUAGCGUCGUGCAUUCCAUCGUCAUGCAGCAAGAACAACAACAAGGCAUACAGAUCCUCCGGCCACUGUUUCAGCUCGUCCAAGGUCAGGGCAUCAUCCAACCUCAACAACCAGCUCAAUAUGAGGUGAUCAGGUCAUUGGUAUUGAGAACCCUUCCAAACAUGUGCAACGUGUAUGUCCGACCUGACUGCUCCACCAUCAACGCACCAUUUGCCAGCAUAGUCGCCGGCAUCAGUGGACAAUGAAAAAUGAAGAGUUAUGCUAAUAGGUAGAUGGAUCAUCGUUGCUUAGCUGAUGCACCAGUCUUUGUAGCGAUGAGGAAUAAAGUGGCGUGCACCAUCAUGUGUGACCCCGACCAGAGCUAGUUCAAGCUUCAGAAUAAAACACAAACAAAGUUCUUGUUUGCUAGCUUCGCUUUUCACUGUUCCAUUUACUUUUUAUUUUCAUGUUCGUUCCUAACCGCAAUCCUAGCCUUACACAUCAAUAGCUAGCUACUUCUGCUGGCAGGUUACUAUUUAAUCUAUCGAUUAAUGGUCGAUGUAUUAAUCCAGUUAAUAGGUUGAUUGAUAUAUUAGUUACUGCUCCCAAGCCGACCGAGCGCUAUCAGUUAGGGAUUUCCUGAACAUUGCACACAAUAAUAAUUCAAUGUAUUUCAAUGUCUAGAAGUGAAAGGGCCAUUUUAGCACCAAAACAAGAGGCUGAUUAGAAACCAUCCAUCACUCUAAAUGUUAAUCUGAAUAUUUUUGCAUUGGUGCAAUUUUGAGUUUGGUGGCACCGAAGCAUUCUUCAAAAGCAAAUUUUAGGGGACUCCAAAGAGGUGAAAAUCAAACCAAAGUUGCCACAUGGUAAAAGAUAAACCAUGCGGUGAGCAAGAGAAAAUAAUUAGUCACAAUAGCAAGAACCAAACACUUGAUAUGAUUUCGUGCGGAGAUGGAAACAAUUUAUAUAUGACAAACAAAGCAUAAGUUGCAUUAGUUUUAAUUGAUUGUAGAAAUUUAUUUUACCUGUAGAAUAACUCAGUUGUUAUCUCUUUAAACAUGCAUUGUGAUAUUGACUUGUCUCAAUCUAUGAACACAAAGCAAAUAUUGCAUUUGCGGUUAUGGUCUCCAAACAGAUGAGAAAUCAGUCUGUGUAGAAAGUUCCUUAGAAGGAUAUUACUGAAUCAAGGAAAUAUUGUAGGAGUAAGAACUGGGGAAAGUAGUGGCUGCACCCACCCUCGGUGCACCCACGGUGCACUCACGCAAGAAAACAUAUCAGAACAUUUCGAAAAAAUCUGAAACUUCGUGGAGAUGAUCAUCAACAAAUGUCACGAGGGCUUGCAAAGUUUGGUGGUCAAAUAACAUUCAAGAAGCGCUCUACAAAAAAGACAAAAUUGCAAAAUCUGCUCAAACGGUGCACGUACAUUUUGACUAAUUUUCAGUGAUUUUGUCUUUUUUGUAGAGAGCUCCUCGAAUGUUAUUUGACCACCAAAUUUUGCAAGCCCCCAUAACAUUUGUUGAUGAUCAUUUCCACGAAGUUUCAGAUUUUUUCAAAAUGUUUUGAUAUGUUUUCUUGCGUGGGUGCACCGUGGGUGCACCGGGAGUGGGUGUAGAAGAACCACUCUCGUAAGAACUGGAAUGGGGAAAAACUGGAGCGCUUUAUCCAGCCUCCUCUCUAUAUUCUACAUGGAUAUCGUCUGUUACAUCUUAGCCCCCAACUGUUACAUGUUCACACAUUUAUAUAACUCAACAGGAUAUAAUAGUUUUGAGCUAAACAAAUUUACUAUUGUACUCAUGUCUUGCAUAGUUAAAGUUGAAAAUCAACGUAAGUAGUGGAUAGUUUGAAAGACAAGUGUGGGAAACAAAUAGUAGGAUAUAAAUUUGAGUAGAAUGUGUGAUCAAUUGUUGACCACAUAGCCCAGCAAACUACUAAAACUAAGAAAAACAAGAUAUUCUACCUUGUACAAACUGUCACAUUGAUAAAACUAUGAUUUGUUUUUGAAAAAUCUGUAGCCCGGAACUAAUAUAAAUUCAAACAAAUCUGUCACAGAUCCCUGAGCCCAUCCAAAAAUUAAUGGUAGUGGAAACUGAAAGAACUAUUAACACGAUUAGACCCAAAUGAUCUAUGUUCCAACAAUUAAUGAUAUUUGAAACUAAAACACGAGUGUUCUAUGUUCUACUACCUAUGUGUAUAAAUAUAAGACGUUUGGCGGUUUAAAAUGAACUGCCAAAAUGUCCUAUAUUAAGGAACAGCGGGUGUACCAAGUAUAUUCUAUGGUCCAAAUUUGUUCAUGUAAAGUGUAUCUUUAACUGAUGCCCUAAAAAAUAGCGGUGUAAUUAGCCGAGUAAAAGAUUUGUGGAGUAAAUUUACUCAACUAACUUUUGGCUGCACCUAACGGAUCUCCUAAAUUUAGCAGAAGUAAUAUUUUCUUGUCACAUUCAUUUCAUUUUCAGCCACUGAAAUAUAUCGGAAUACACAAUUAACAAAUUCUUCAUGAAAAAAAUGAAACCAAAAAAACUAAAACCACAAUUAGACACUUUAAUAGAAAUUCAACUUCCAUAACUGCUGCUGAAAGUUGGUAAACAGAUUUCAGACUUAGUGAAAUUAACGCUUGUCUGGAAUUUCAGAUCAGAUAGCACUCUUUGGAGCAUGAAAACAAUAUGCUACAGGACCUGAACAUGACAAAGUAAAGCAUGGCAUGGAGCUACUCAAAGAGCUUAACAAAAGUCCCUUAGUGACCUUGAUCCAAAAUGGAUUAGAAAAUACAUUUGCAAGCAUGUGAACAUGGCAAAAACAUAAUCAGUUCUCAGACUUAGUGAAAACUGGAGCAUGCUAAAACAGAUAUCAAGUAAGCAUGUUUACGAGCUUGAUGCACUCACUACAGAGCAAGUCAUGACAAUCUAAGCAUACACACAUCAAGAAUACACAAAAUAAAAGCUAGACAUGGCACGAACAAUAACAUAGCAUGCACGGAUCAACUACAACAUCAUCGGCAAAAUUGCUAACAAGUAGACAAUCUGCCCAGAUUCACGAAAUAGCAAAAGUAGAGCUCGAUUGACUCAAUCUAGGGUGCUCCAUAAUUUCAAACAAAGACAUAUAUGGAUAGAGCACUACAAGAUUAACAAAACAUCUUUACUGAUCAUCCUCAAAAGAGGCACGGAUCACUAGGAAUCAACAUGAACAUAUGGCAUAUUGAGAUAACCAGCCAAGGACUUAGUGGAAAUGCCAAGUCCCUGAAAUCAGCAUUAACGAAUGCUCCACUUUGCAAGCUUGUGCUAGUCACCACACACAUCACAAAAAUACAUGGGUUGCACCUCUGGAUAGAUGGCAAAACAUGUAACAAAACUCAUGUAGAGCUCAGGGGCAUAUCAUGCACACAAUAAUCAUGGCAAAAAUGACAAAUAUCUAAUUGGAGCAUCAGAUCUGACAAUUAUCUCAAAUAGCACUCUUUCAACAGCAUUUCGGGCAUCAAGAUUAACUCAAAUGAAAAUGAUGCAAUGAGAUGAAAUGAUGUACUCUCUGAGAUGAACAUUUUGAUAUGCUAUAUGCCCAAAACGGAGCUACAUAUGCGGAGAUAUAGCAUGAUGAAAAACGCACAAAACUAGGGUUAGGGACGAAAAAGUCAACCAAGAGGGAGUUUCCAGAUCCAGAUCGGGAUCUCACGAGUACUGUAGCGGCACGGAGUACGAGGUUCGUCGCUGGAUUUGGGCCGGCCGGAGUUGGACGGCGAGGCGGCCGGAGAGAGGGAGGCGCCGGAGUGGGGCGGCACCGGCCGGUGAGGAGGAGGCGGCCGCGGUCGUCGACGAGGUAGCGCGGCGGGGUGGCGACCGGAGCGGCACGGUCGCCGGCGAGGUUGAGCUGCGGCGCGGUGGCAUGGAUCGCCGGAGACGGAGGAGAGGGGCGGCGCGGUGAGCCGGAGAGGAGGCGGGGCGGAGCGGGCCGCGGGGGCCGUGGUUGGGCCCGGCGGGCUUCUGCGAUGUGGGGUGCGCCGGCGCAAUGUGGCGGAGCGCGGUAGGUCGGGCGGCAGCGGGCGGACAUGUCCGGUCCGCUCCGGANNNNNNNNNNNNNNNNNNNNNNNNNNNNNNNNNNNNNNNNNNNNNNNNNNNNNNNNNNNNNNNNNNNNNNNNNNNNNNNNNNNNNNNNNNNNNNNNNNNNNNNNNNNNNNNNNNNNNNNNNNNNNNNNNNNNNNNNNNNNNNNNNNNNNNNNNNNNNNNNNNNNNNNNNNNNNNNNNNNNNNNNNNNNNNNNNNNNNNNNNNNNNNNNNNNNNNNNNNNNNNNNNNNNNNNNNNNNNNNNNNNNNNNNNNNNNNNNNNNNNNNNNNNNNNNNNNNNNNNNNNNNNNNNNNNNNNNNNNNNNNNNNNNNNNNNNNNNNNNNNNNNNNNNNNNNNNNNNNNNNNNNNNNNNNNNNNNNNGAGCUAGGAAGCUCCAAAUGGAGUCCGGUUUUCGGCCAUGCGAUUGUGAUUGAACGCUCUAGAUGAUGGAGAAGGUUUUGGUGGGUUUUGGGCCAAAAUGGAGAGGUGUUGGGUUGCAACACACCCGAGGCCUUUUCAGUCCCUCGGUUAACCGUUGGAGCAUCAAACGAAGUCCAAAUGGUACGAAACUUGACAGGCGGCCUACCGGUAGUAAACCAAGGCCGCUUGGCAAGUCUCGGUCCAAUCCGGAAAUGUUUAAUCCCCACACACGAAAGAAAGGUAGAAAUGACCACCGGAGGAGAACGGAGCGCCGGAAUGCAAAACGGACAACGGGGAAAAUGCUCGAAUGCAUGAGAUGAACACGUAUGCAAAUGCAGUGCACAUGACGACAUGAUAUGAGAUGCAUGACAACGAUAACAACACACGGAGACAAAGACCCGAACCCGAGAAAAUAAAAUAACUUAACGCCGGAAACGACAAGAGUUGGAGUACAUAUUGGGAAAAUCAUAUCCGGGGUGUUACAGUUUUCCUCUCCUCCACUUCACCCUUGCCGUUUUAUUCGCCCUCUCUCUCUAUCCUCCCUCUCUUUCUCUAUUUGCCUCUUUUUGCCCGUUUCUCGUUUGCUUCUGUGUUGGAUUGCUUGCUUGUCAUGAUGGCUCAAGAUAACAUUAAAUUGUGUGACUUUACCAAUACCAACAACAAUGAUUUUAUUAGCACUCUGAUUUCUCCUCUUACCGAUGCUGAAUCUUGUGAAAUUAAUGCUGCCUUGCUGAAUCUUGUCAUGAAAGAUCCAUUUUCCGGCCUUCCUAGUGAAGAUGCUGCUACCCAUCUAAAUAGCUUCGUUGAUUUGUGUGAUAUGCAAAAGAAGAAAGAUGUGGAUAAUGAUAUUGUUAAAUUGAAGCUAUUUCCUUUUUCUCUUAGAGUUCGUGCUAAAGCUUUGUUUUCGUCUUUGCCUAAAAUAGUUUUGAUUCGUGGAAUAAGUGCAAAGAUGCUUUUAUCUCUAAGUAUUUUCCUCCCGCUAAGAUCAUCUCUCUUAGAAACAAUAUUAUGAAUUUUAAGCAACUUGAUCAUGAACAUGUUGCACAAGCUUGGGAGAGGAUGAAAUUAAUGAUACGUAAUUGCCCAACACAUGGUUUGAAUUUGUGGAUGAUUAUACAAAAAAUUUACGCUGGAUUGAAUUUUUCUUAUAGAAAUCUUUUAGAUUCGGCCGCGGGAGGCACUUUUAUGGAAAUCACUUUAGGAGAAGCUACUAAACUCCUAGAUAAUAUUAUGGUUAAUUAUUCUUAAUGGCACACUGAAAGAUCUACUAAUAAAAAAGUGCAUGUGAUAGAAGAAAUUAAUGUUUUGAGUGGAAAGAUGGAUGACUUAUGAAAUUAUUUUUUAAUAAAAGUGUUUCUUCUGAUCCAAAUGAUACGCCUUUGUCUACUUUGAUUGAGAAUAAUAAUGAAUGUAAGGAUGUGAAUUUUGUUGGUAGGAACAAUUUUGGUAACAACGCGUAUAGAGAAAAUUUAAUCCUAGGCCUUAUCCUAGUAAUUCCUCUAAUAAUUAUGGUAAUUCCUACAACAAUUCUUAUGGAAAUUAUAAUAAUGCCCUCUGAUUUUGAAUAUAAUAUUAAAGAAUUUAUUAUUUCGCAAAAGAAUUUCAAUGCUUUGAUUGAAGAAAAUUUGCAUAAGACUGAUGAGUUGGCUAGGAACGUUGAUAGAAUUUCUCUUGAUGUUGAUUCUUUGAAACUUAGAUCUAUUCCACCUAAGCAUGAUAUCAAUGAGUAUCUCAAAACCAUGAGAAUUUGCAUUGAUGAGUGCAAAGAAAGAACCGCUAGGAUGCGUGCUAAGAAAGAUUCCUUUAUAAGAGCGUGUUCUUCUAGUUUCCAUGAUAAUAAAGAUGAAGAUCUAAAAGUUAUUGAUGUGUCCCCUAUUAAAUCUUUGUUUUGCAAUAUGAAUCUUGAUAAUGAUGGGACUGAAUAUGAUCCACCUUUACCUAGAAGGCGUUCCAAAAAUUCGGAGUUUUUAGAUCUUGAUGCUAAAAUUUAUAAAAGUGGGAUUAAAGAGAUCAAAACUCUAGAUACUAAUGAACCUACUAUUCGGAGUUUUUAUUGUAUUUCCUUGUUGCAAUCCGUGUUAAAUUCUCCUCAUGCUUAUAGUCAAAAUAAAGCUUUUACCAAACAGUUAUCAUGAACAACUUCAACUAAAUGCAUCAAAUGUUACAAAUAAUACAUACAAACUUAGUUUAAUAAAUUAAUGAAUUAAAGCGAGAACAAACCUUCAAAUGUAAUUUAGAGUGAAUCAAUUAAGACCAUGUAAAGCUAUUACUAGUCCAAUAUUAAUUAAUAACUUGCACAUAAUUGCAACCAUUGACAUAAAAAGGGAAUAUGAUGAGUCAUGUAUUGAGAAUGUGUACAACAUUACUACCAUUGACAUAAAAGGAGAAUUUGAUGAGUCGUAUCAGCUUGUUCAUCUUACCAUUAUACUACACAACACUGCAAGCUAGUUUAAAAAAAAUAAGAGUACAGAAUGAACAUUAGAAUAGCCUGAUCUAUCUUUGACAACAUGCACAAGGAUACAAAUUUAGUCCCCCGCAAGCUAUGAAGAUUUGGUUUAUGUCUAACAACUUGUACAACAAGAUAAACUUAGAUCCAAAAGGAUUGCAAUCCAGAUAAUUGUUUGACAUGUAAAGUCGAUAAGAUGAGUCAGUGCCAAUUAUCAUGUUUUCGUCACUCUUAGAUGAUAUGUACAAUAAAAGGCAACUUUGAUGACCACUCCAAAAUUACAUUUGUAUGUAGUGCCACCAAACACAACACACCAAAUAAUCAGUUUGAUAAGCAUCAAAUCACUUUAAAAAAAUAAAAGCUAUAAUGAAAAGAAACCUAACCAUGGUAGCUAUAAAAAGGAUGCAAUAUGUAGACUCCAUACCAUCAUCCAUCCUUCACACAACUAGAGCACAAGUAUCAAAUCCAAUUAAGUAGUAGCCAACACAAAUCCACCAUGAAGACCUUAUUCAUCCUAACAAUCCUUGCGAUGGCAACAACUAUCGCCACCGCGAAUAUGCAGGUCGACCCCAGCGGCCAAGUACAAUGGCCACAACAACAACCAUUCCGCCAGCCCCAACAACCAUUCUACCAGCAACCACAACACACAUUUCCCCAACCCCAACAAACAUUCCCCCAUCAACCACAACAACAAUUUCCCCAGCCCCAGCAACCACAACAACAAUUUCCGCAGCCCCAGCAACCACAACAACCAUUUCCCCAGCCCCAACAAGCCCAACUACCAUUUCCCCAACAACCACAACAACCAUUCCCCCAGCCUCAACAACCCCAACAACCAUUUCCCCAGUCACAGCAACCACAACAACCUUUUCCCCAGCCCCAACAACCGCAACAAUCAUUCCCCCAGCAACAACAACCGUUGAUUCAGCCAUAUCUACAACAACAGAUGAACCCUUGCAAGAAUUACCUCUUACAACAAUGCAACCCUGUGUCAUUGGUGUCAUCCCUCGUGUCAAUGAUAUUGCCACGAAGUGAUUGCCAGGUGAUGCAGCAACAAUGUUGCCAACAACUAGCACAGAUUCCUCGCCAGCUCCAGUGUGCAGCCAUCCAUAGCGUCGUGCAUUCCAUCGUCAUGCAGCAAGAACAACAACAAGGCAUACAGAUCCUCCGGCCACUGUUUCAGCUCGUCCAAGGUCAGGGCAUCAUCCAACCUCAACAACCAGCUCAAUAUGAGGUGAUCAGGUCAUUGGUAUUGAGAACCCUUCCAAACAUGUGCAACGUGUAUGUCCGACCUGACUGCUCCACCAUCAACGCACCAUUUGCCAGCAUAGUCGCCGGCAUCAGUGGACAAUGAAAAAUGAAGAGUUAUGCUAAUAGGUAGAUGGAUCAUCGUUGCUUAGCUGAUGCACUAGUCUUUGUAGCGAUGAGGAAUAAAGUGGCGUGCACCAUCAUGUGUGACCCCGACCAGAGCUAGUUCAAGCUUCAGAAUAAAACACAAACAAAGUUCUUGUUUGCUAGCUUCGCUUUUCACUGUUCCAUUUACUUUUUAUUUUCAUGUUCGUUCCUAACCGCAAUCCUAGCCUUACACAUCAAUAGCUAGCUACUUCUGCUGGCAGGUUACUAUUUAAUCUAUCGAUUAAUGGUCGAUGUAUUAAUCCAGUUAAUAGGUUGAUUGAUAUAUUAGUUACUGCUCCCAAGCCGACCGAGCGCUAUCAGUUAGGGAUUUCCUGAACAUUGCACACAAUAAUAAUUCAAUGUAUUUCAAUGUCUAGAAGUGAAAGGGCCAUUUUAGCACCAAAACAAGAGGCUGAUUAGAAACCAUCCAUCACUCUAAAUGUUAAUCUGAAUAUUUUUGCAUUGGUGCGAUUUUGAGUUUGGUGGCACCGAAGCAUUCUUCAAAAGCAAAUUUUAGGGGACUCCAAAGAGGUGAAAAUCAAACCAAAGUUGCCACAUGGUAAAAGAUAAACCAUGCGGUGAGCAAGAGAAAAUAAUUAGUCACAAUAGCAAGAACCAAACACUUGAUAUGAUUUCGUGCAGAGAUGGAAACAAUUUAUAUAUGACAAACAAAGCAUAAGUUGCAUUAGUUUUAAUUGAUUGUAGAAAUUUCUUUUACCUGUAGAAUAACUCAGUUGUUAUCUCUUUAAACAUGCAUUGUGAUAUUGACUUGUCUCAAUCUAUGAACACAAAGCAAAUAUUGCAUUUGCGGUUAUGGUCUCCAAACAGAUGAGAAAUCAGUCUGUGUAGAAAGUUCCUUAGAAGGAUAUGUUCUGAAUCAAGGAAAUAUUGUAGGAGUAAGAACUGGGGAAAGUAGUGGCUGCACCCACUCUCGGUGCACCCAUGGUGCACUCACGCAAGAAAACAUAUCAAAACAUUUCGAAAAAAAUCUGAAACUUCGUGGAGAUGAUCAUCAACAAAUGUCAUGAGGGCUUGCAAAGUUUGGUGGUCAAAUAACAUUCGAGAAGCGCUCUACAAAAAAGACAAAAUUGCAAAAUAUGCUCAAAUAGUGCACAUACAUUUUGACUAAUUUUCAGUGAUUUUGUCUUUUUUGUAGAGAGCUCCUCGAAUGUUAUUUGACCACCAAAUUUUGCAAGCCCCCAUAACAUUUGUUGAUGAUCAUUUCCAUGAAGUUUCAGAUUUUUUCAAAAUGUUUUGAUAUGUUUUCUUGCGUGGAUGCACCGUGGGUGCACCGAGAGUGGGUGUAGAAGAACCACUCUCGUAAGAAACUGGAAUGGGGAAAAACUGGAGCGCCUUAUCCAGCCUCCUCUCUAUAUUCUACAUCGAUAUCGUCUGUUACAUCUUAGCCCCCAACUGUUACAUGUUCACACAUUUAUAUAACUCAACAGGAUAUAAUAGUUUUGAGCUAAACAAAUUUACUAUUGUACUCGUGUCUUGCAUAGUUAAAGUUGAAAAUCAACAUAAGCAGUGGAUAGUUUGAAAGACAAGUGUGGGAAACAAAUAGUAGGAUAUAAAUUUGAGUAGAAUGUGUGAUCAAUUGUUGACCACAUAGCCCAGCAAACUACUAAAACUAAGCAAAACAAGAUAUUCUACCUUGUACGAACUGUCACAAUGAUAAAACUAUGAUUUGUUUUUGAAAAAUCUGUAGCCCGGAACUAAUAUAAAUUCAAACAAAUCUGUCACAGAUCCCUGAGCCCAUCCAAAAAUUAAUGGUAGUGGAAACUGAAAGAAGUAUUAACCCGAUUAGACCCAAAUGAUCUAUGUUCCAACAAUUAAUGAUAGUUGAAACUAAAACACGAGUGGUCUAUGUUCUACUAGCUAUGUGUAUAAAUAUAAGACGUUUGACAGUUUAAAUUGAACUGCCAAAAUGUCCUAUAUUAAGGAACAGUGGGUGUACCAAGUAUAUUCUAUGGUCCAAAUUUGUUCAUGUAAAGUGUAUCUUUAACUGAUGCCCUAAAAAAAUAGCAGUGUAAUCAGCCGAGUAAAAGAUUUGUGGAGUAAAUUUACUCAACUAAGUUUUGGCUGCACCUAACCGAUCUCCUAAAUUUAGCGGAAGUAAUAUUUUUUGUCAAAUUCAUUUCAUUUUCAGCCACCGAAAUAUAUCGGAAUACACAAUUCACAAAUUCUUCAUGAAAAAAUGAAACCAAAAAAACUAAAACCACAAUUAGACACUUUAAUAGAAAUUCAACUUCCAUAACUGCUGCUGAAAGUUGGUAAACAGAUUUCAGACUUAGUGAAAUUAACGCUUGUCUGGAAUUUCAGAUCAGAUAGCACUCUUUGGAGCAUGAAAACAAUAUGCUACAGGACCUGAACAUGACAAAGUAAAGCAUGCCAUGGAGCUACUCAAAGAGCUUAACAAAAGUCCCUUAGUGACCUUAAGCCAAAAGGGAUCAGAAAAUACAUUUGCAAGCAUGUGAACAUGGCAAAAACAUAAUCAAUUUUCAGAGCUGCCUGCCACCUUGGCAUUGCCCAACAACCAUUUUCGCAGCCAGUUCCACAGCAACCACAACUAGUCCUGAAGCGGCCACAAGAAUCUUUUCCAAAACAGCCUCAAGAAACCUUCCAUCCAUCACUUCAUCAAAAGUUGACCCCGUGCAAAGUGUUCAUCCAACAGUUGCACAUCAUGGUGGCAACACCACCAUUCCUUGAAUCACGGGUGUUGACGAAAAGCGGCUGCGAAGUGAGGCAGCAGCAAUGCUGCCAACAACUCACCCGGAUCCCUAUGCCAUCCCGAUGCCAAGCCAUAUGUGGCCUAGUGCACACCAUCAUCAUCGAGAAGCAACAAGAGCAACGGCAACAACGACCACAACUAGGACACGGUUCCCCCCAGCGUCAGUAGGAACGACUAGUCCAGUUUGAGGCUACGAUGAGCACCGCGCUUCAAACCCUGCCUACAAUGUGCGACGUGCGCGUGAUGCCAUGUUGCAUCGUGGCCACCAGCACCACCAUCCCGCCAGCCGGCGAUAUCAGCGAGUGAUAAGAAGAGAAAGGUUGUGGUACAAUAUAUAUGUAGCACCGACCAAGCCGAUGGAUCAAUCCUCUAGAGCUGAUACGAAUGAACGCAUUGAAAUGCACCUGUCAUGUACUCCCUCUGUUCCAAAAUAGAUGACCCAAUUUUAUACUAAUUUUUUACUAAAGUUAGUACAAAGUUGAGUCAUCUAUUUCGGAACGGAGGGAGUAUGACCCUUUCCACAAAAUGAGCUCAUUAAUUAUAUGUCCACGAUAAACACGCAAUACAUCACUCGAUGGCUCAGAUGGACGGCCAAACUUCAUAGAAGGUUUAACCAUGGGUAUCUCAAUCUCACCCCUGUUUUAACCCAGGGACCUGGGUAAGCAAAUAGGAUGAACUAGAAGGACUCGAAUCAAUAGUUCCACGGGCAUCAGGGGAGUGAGGAAGCAGAAUAAAAAGCUCAUCCUUUUGGUUAUCUGCAGAGAGUCUUCCGUCCCCUCCAACAAACCUUCUCCUCACCCUCCAAUGGCGGCCGCGACCUCCUCCUUCGCCACGCUCGUGAGCUCCCUCCCCUCCUCCUCCUCCCCCCUUCUGCUCGGACCCGCCUGGUCUCCCUCCUCCUCCUCCGCCUGAAUCUUGUGCUGUGUGUGCUGUUCUUUCUUGCAGGCCAUCGCCCGCCCGGCGGCGGCGGGGCCGGCGGCGCAGAGGGCGCUCCUCGCCUCGAAGGCCCCCUCGUCGGCGCUCUCCCUCCGCGGCGGCCGCAUCGCGUCCCCGGCCCUCUCCGUCUCCCAGCAGAGCCGCGCGCGCUUCGUCCCCUCCGCCACCGCCGAACCCUAUGUAAAGAUUCAGCAUUUAUUUAUCUAUUUAUCUAUCUGGCCACAAGGGCCGCAAUCUAUGUGGAGCUUGCAUAUCUAUUACCAAAUUGCAAUCUAGUAGACGUGUAUCCUUUGCCUUCCGAUGCGAACAUCCACACAAUUUGGUAUAUUCAUGAGAAAAAUUAGUUCACUCCCCGAGUUUUCGUGUGAAGAAAUGCAAGUUGAGAUUUACCAUCAGUUACUUCCUUCUGUAAUAAACAUUAGGCUCUGUGCACGACGGGCAUGCCAUGUGUUUAUGUUAGUCCAUUAGGUUCAGUUAGUGUUAGUCGUCAGUGGUCUGAGGAAUCAAAUGUGCAGCUAUUUCUAUCUAGAUACUGUGGCCGCUACCUGUGUAAAGCCUGCGUAUCUGGCGCACCGCUCCUGGUUCAGCCAGGAAGCCCAUUGCAGUCUAGUAGACAUGUAGUGUGUGCCUUCGGAUGUGACUUCCAUGCCAUUCCUUAUGUUAUUUGGUAUCUGUAAUUUUCAUGCGAAAAAUCAGGUCACUAACUGAAAUUUUUUGUGUGCGUGGACAAAUUUGCAAGUUGAGGUUUUAUCAUCACUUACUUAUGAUAACCGCCGGGUUAUGCCAGUGUUAGAUGCAGAGUACCAUCAGCAUGUGUUAGUGUUUAGUUUAUUAUGUCCAGUUACUGUUAGUUGCCGGCCGUCUAAGGGAAUAAAUGUGCCACUGUAUGGUUUACACAAUAUGCCAUUUUUGUGGUUGCAUUGGUGGGUGUCUUUUACCUUAUUAUAUGUCAUACAUUUCAUGGUGUUUGAAGCUGUUCUUUCAUCAUGCAUUGCAGGCACCUGAGCUUCAGUCCAAAGUUACAAACAAGGUGUACUUUGACAUAAGCAUUGGCAACCCUGUCGGGAAGAACGUUGGGAGGAUUGUCAUCGGGCUGUAUGGGGAUGAUGUUCCCCAAACCGUUGAGAACUUCCGUGCUCUCUGCACUGGUACGAGAGACUGUUGGAGCCCUCUUCUGUUAUCCCAUCUGUAAAGGAUUGCUCUGAUGAGGUAUAUGACCAAUUUCUCCUUUUUGUACCAGGGGAGAAAGGGUUCGGAUACAAGGGAUCAAGUUUCCACCGUGUCAUUAAGGACUUCAUGAUUCAGGGGGGAGACUUUGACAAGGGCAACGUAUGCGUUUCCUACCUUCAUCUAUUCUUGUUUGUUGCACGUGCAUGCUUAUGCUGUAUUGCGAUUGCAUUAAGAAAAACUAAAGAGUGUACUACCUGUUUUGCACGUAAUCGUUUCGCACGAAUGUACCUGUUUCUGUUUGUUGAUAGUUAUGCUAGUUCUUCCUCUCCUUUUCUUCUGAAUUGUAUAGUUUAGCUAUUUGAGUACUCUGUGCUGUUUAAGCAUUAUUUUACGGACCAGAGGGACUGGGGGAGAAGGAUAGGGAGUUUAAAUCCUUUACUACUAGCUUUGCUCGUGUACCGGCAUUCAAUUUGUUAUCGUGCUGCAUUUUGAUCCUGGAUCUUAUCCAUGUUUGAUUGUCAUUAAUAACUUGCACAAGUGCAUCCUACUCUGUUUUGUUGUCAGUGGCCUUGUGGUAAGAAUUCAAGGUGAUUGCCAUCGCGCCAUCCUUUCCCAUAUUGAGGCAUACAUGAUUAUGUGUUUCAUCUGCAUUUUGAUCUACUUAUGCAUGGCUGGCUGAAGUACUUUGAGACAUCAGAUUGCCUAAAAUGAAACAUGCAGCUUCCAACAAUGGCAUUGAAUAACUAGAAACUGAUAUUUUUCAGGGUACUGGAGGGAAAAGCAUAUAUGGCCGCACCUUUAAGGAUGAGAACUUCCAAUGUAUGUGUUGCAAUGAACCUUUGUCACUCAAUCUUUGCUUCAGAUUAUAUGCUAACUGAUUAUAUAUUAUUUAAUGUUCUUAGUGGUUCAUACUGGACCUGGAGUGCUCAGCAUGGCGAAUGCUGGACCGAACACCAACGGCAGCCAAUUCUUCAUCUGCACAGUCAAGGUAAUUAAUUGUUUACUUCCUGCUAUCAGUCAGUCCAUUUGAAUAAUAGUACCCUUUUUCCAUUGCUAAGUUUGAAGUUCAUAUAAAUCCCCGAUUGAGGUUUCUCCUACCUUGCUUGCAGACACCGUGGCUGGACGGGAGACACGUUGUCUUUGGCCAGGUUCUUGAAGGCAUGGACAUCGUAAGGACGAUAGAGUCAUCAGAGACCGACAGAGGUGACCGUCCGAAGAAGAAGGUGGUCAUUAGUGAGUGCGGGGAGCUUCCAGUGGUCUGAGUUUUAUUUAGAUGGCUAUCACCUUCCAUCUGCGCAUCUUGAUUUUGCUGUGGACUUGUUACUUGUCUUUCUCCAAGUAGUUAGAGACCGCACUGAGUUGAACUCGAGAUUUCUACUCUGAGGCAUACGGCAUUCAUCAACUGUUCGACUGGAAUAAGAAUGUGAUUGCUUUCCUGAACCUGUUUUGUAGCAUUGCUCAUGGUAGAUAAUGCCUUGUGAAUUUUUUGGCGGAUCCAUGAAAUGCCUAGAUAUCUCUAUCUAUUCGUUUUUAUCUGCUAAAUUUCCCUGAAGAGCUGCAAACAAAUUAUGCCAUGUAAAGGCUCGGUAUCAUUCCUGGCAAUUCCAGUUCCGACACUUGUCAUGAGCAAAAUUUAGCAAACACAACCUGCUGAUUAUCUGAAUGAUUCGCGCAACAAUACAAACUUAGUUUGGCAGACCAACAGAAUAUUGAUCAAAGCUUCACAUGUGUACUGUAAAGCCUUUGACAUGUAAAGGGAAUUUGAUGAAUCAUGUCAUGCUCCACUUCUGCAAGUCACACUGUACUAUAAAGUCUUGUGUAUCGUUACAGGCCACACAAGACUACAAACUUAGUUCAAUGCAAGGCAUGCUAGUCUGGUUUAUGCGUACAAACUAGUUUCAGAGACUCCGAUGCAAUCUAGAUUGAUGUUUGACAUGUAAAGUGAAUAACAUGAGUUAUGCCAAUCUUCUAUAUCUAAAUAGCUAGCCCCCAUUAACUAUUUCUCUCAACAUGCAAGCAUGCCACAUCAUACGCACAACAUGCAUGAGAAGAGCCUCACCUCCACUAUCAUAUGUCUCUCAACAUGCAAGCAUGUCACUUCAUCAUGAAACAUGCAUCAUAACAUGCAAAAAUACAUGAGAAUUUUAUUAUAUCAUGCUAUUUAUAUUUAAUAAACAUUUUACAACAAAUAUUCAUGUUUCAAACGACGAAUCAAAUAGAAAUAUGUUGCAAAGUAUUCCCACAACAACGUGCGGGAUAUCAUCUAGUUUAUAAAGCUUUGGUGGCAGUGGAGUGAUAUGUGCAACAACAAAGAACUUUGAUGAGAAAUCCAAGAAUACACUUAUAAGUAGUGUCCCCAAACACAACAUACGAAAUGAUGAGUUGAGAAGCAUCCCCGCACUUUCCAAGAAAAGUAAUUGCAAAGAUGAAAACAAACAAUGCCAUGGUAGCUAUAAAUAGGCAUACACCAUCAAGAUCCUCCAUCAUCCACCAUUCACAUUAGAGAACAAACAUCAAAGCCAAGCAAACAAUAUCCAACAUAAAUCAACUAUGAAGAUCUUCCUUGCGCUUGCCUUUCUUGCUGCUAUGGCUACCAACGCCAUAGUCACCACUGAUAUGAAACUACCCCAGUUGCAACCACAAAAAUCAUUUUCACAACAACAACCCUUUCCACAACCACAACUACUCUUUCGAGAGGAGCAAUCAGCUCCACAACAAUAGCCAUUUCCACCACAACAGUUACCAUUUGGGCAACAACAAUUUCCACAACCACCACCCUAUCCCCCACCGCAACAACCACUCUAUCCCCAACCACAACAACAACCAUUCCCACAGCAACAUGAACAACCAGCUCAGGAACAACCAUUUGUACAACAAUUGAACCCCAUGUAGGGAUGUAUUCCUACAACAGUGUAAUCCUGUGACAACUUUAUCAUUUCUCCAGUCACAGGUGGUGCAACAAAGCAGAUGUCAGGUGUUAAGGAAGCAAUGUUGUCAGCAACUGUCACGUAUUCCCAAGCGAUCACAGUGACAUGCCAUCCACAAUGUUGUGCACGCCAUUAUUUUGCAACAACAACAACAAUUGGGAGAAGGUACUUUGGUCCAACCUCAACAACAACUACUAGGUCGAGGUUCCAUCCAACCUCAACAACAUCAGUUGAAUCAGGGUUGGAUCGACACAAUAAGGACAUGGGUGCUUCAGACCCUACCGACAAUGUGCGACAUCCACGUCACACUGUACUGCUCUAUCACCUCAUCAGCAUAGCAACGUCACUAUAUAUACUAGCAUGAGUGGCUAAUGAGAAGACAAGAGAUCUCAUACUCGAUAGAUGGACUACCGUUGUUAGUCGAUGGUCCUAUCCAUGCAGCGCCGAAAAAUGAAUAAAAGAAAAAGAUAUAUAUUCUUUGAUGCAUAUAGAUUAUCUAUUGGUGUUCCGUUCAUGAACAUGUUGAGUUGUUCGUCCAAAAAACAAUAUAUGCAUUAAUUAGCUUUCUAUGUAGCACAUUUGUAAAAAUUGAACUGAGCCGAAUCUCUAUUAAGGUAAUUAUUUAAGGAGUAAGGAUUAACAAGAAACUAACUCUUUAAUGGCAAGCAUUAUGGGUUUUGACCUUCAAUUGGUCCAUGUAAGAUUUCUUUUGAAUGUUGGCGGGAGAGAUGCCAAUCCAUUGAUUAGAAAGGGAUAUUACCGGUAACACCCCCAAAGGAGGAAUGCACCACAUAAGGCAAGUGUCAAACAAAUAAGAAAUGAAAAAGGUCUGCUUGAGUAAUCAAGGAAAGCUAGGAGAAAACCUAAACAAGACCUAGCUAGACUAGACCUAAAGCUGCACAAAACAUACAACAUGCCAGAAAGCUAACACCCCAAAACAUACAUGGCUGAUCACUCAAGCGCCUUCUCUGCUACCAGAGAGCACACCAAAACCGCUGUAUCAAUAUGGGAUCCCAUAGUUACCAUAUCGAUGAAGCUUGAUGAUAUCGAAGAGGAACACUAUGUCCGAUAGAGCAGACAUAUGCCACUUCAAUCCCGUGAGGUUGGCGAACAUAGUUCGCCUGACUGACCUUGCAUGUGGAGGUCACGCAAGCUGCCGCGGACCACUUCCACGAGUCUUGAGUCCAUCCUGCCGAGUCUAACGAUCCAAGACAAUGCCCGAAGAGGAAACACGGUGCCAUGCAAAGCCAGAAGCGUUGUCAUCGUCCCAUCCAGGAGAUCAGAUCUAGGUUUUCCCUCGCAGUAUGCUAGGAGAUGGGGGAGGACAUCAACAUCAAUGCCUCCAACAAGGGAACGAUGCCCGUAGGCACCACUAUCGAUGACUAUGACUAUAACCAGAGUAUGGCUUUUGCUGGUAGCCUAACCCUCCCAAACCCAAAACCCCGAGAACCUAUCCAGCCUAGAACCUCCAUGACACGUGGUAGGACAUGAGGCCUCAGACUUGUGACACAUGAAGGACCCCUUCGUCGUAGGCCCGCAGAAAUCCAGACCGGGUCUUGGAGUUGGCAGACCUCAUGCCUUAGGCAGAUCCGGAGCACCGCAGGAACCUCCCUGUGCAGAUCAUCUCUAUGCUCACACUAGAGACGGCGAGAACCGACCGCCUGCCCUUUGGGCAGCCGAUCGAAACCACAAGGCCAUCGGAGUCCUCACGCCGCCACCCAUCAGAUCCGCGUUGGGAGCGCCGACCACGCGCCUCUACACGAUGAUACGAUCCCCACAACCAUAGCUCAUGACACCACUUAUUAUAAACUAUGUAGUAGUUCAUUGCAGAAAACUAGACGGGACACACGAUGUUUUCUUAACAAGGUUCAACAUCGUGGUUAAUCCCCAUGGCAUGAUUACGGGCGCACCUCCCCAUGUACCAUCACAUAUACAAGUUGACGAUAAGCCCAGACAGCACUCCAACCACCUUUGCCAUGCACCCCUGCCAAGUGUGCGAACCGUCCCUCUCGUGAUCUCUGUCAUAGCGUAACUUAUGCCUAGUAUAUUUUGGCUAUGUGUGGUAUCUUAUAUAAUAGUACUCGGUUACACGUGUCUAACUGAAACACCUAAUGCUCCACAUACUCCAAGUCUAAUAGUAGCCCAAUACACAUAUUCGACACAAUUUUAAAAGAUGCCCAAUUGUUGGCCAGCAAGCUUCCCUCGGUCUCAGUAUCAUGGUGGACACCAUGGCCACUGCUGAAUGUUGUGCCCAGCAAGUCAAGGAUACAAUAGUGUUGAAGGCAUGGCCUAUGCACCUGCCUAUUAUUACAACAAACCCAAAGAAGAAAACAACACUUAAUUAGCAGAGGACAUGAUUAAUCUAACAUUCCUUAACAUGUUUUUUUUGCUUUGUUCAUGAUAGAUAAUGCCUUGUGAAUUUUCUUGCGGAUUGAUGAAAUGUUUGGAUAUAUCUAUUCAUACUAAUAUCUGCUAAAUUGUACUAUAAUUUCCCUCAAGAAAUGCAAAAAAAAAAUGUGGACGCACAUGCUUUGCAAAUGCUCUGUAUCAUUCCUAGUCCCAACACUUGUCAUGAACAAUCUUGAACAAAUUCAGCAAACAAUACUUGAUUAUCUUAACGAUAUGCACAACACUACAGACUUAGUUUGACAAACUGACGGAAUCUUGAAGAAACCUUCAUAUGUACCUACGUGUAAAUCCUUAUACUAAUCCUGUACAACAUUACAAUCCUUGACAUGUAAAGGAAUUCGAUGAAAUGAUGUCAUCGUCUACUUUUGCAAGUUACUAUACUAGUCUUAUGUAUCUUUGCAGGCCACACAAGAUUACAAACUUAGUUUGGUGCAAGACAAGCUAAUCUAGUUUAUGUGUAACAACUUGUAGAAUAUAACAAACCCAGUUUUAGAAAAUGUUGCAAUCCGGAUCGACGUUUGACAUGUAAAGUAAAUAAGAUGAGUUAUGUCAAUUAUCAAGAUUUGUUGAUAGAGGAAUGAUACAUGCAACAACAAAGAACUUCGAUGAUCAGUGCAAGUAUAUGCUUGUAAGCAGUUGCACCUAACGCAACAUACCAAAUGUUAGAGUCCGAGAAGCAUCCAUGCACUUUUAAGAAAAGGAAAUGCAAAGAUGAAAAAAGGUGAUGCCAUGUCAGUUAUAAAUAGGCCUAAACAAUCAAGACACUCCUCCAGCACCCACCAUUCACUCAACUGGAGAACAAACAUUAUCUAACACAAAUCAACCAUGAAGAAAUUCCUCGUCCUUGCCCUCAUUGUUGUCGCGGCGACCACCACGGCCGCCGAACCCUUUACUGCAUUCCGUACUGCUUGGGAGCCGCACCAUCCAUCAUCUCCAGAGCAGCAACCAACUCCACAGCCACAAGAACAACCAGUUCCACAUCAAAAGUUGAACCCAUGCAGGGAUGCCCUCCUACAACAGUGUAGCCCAGUUGCUGAUAUGUCGUUCCUCCGGUCACAGGUGGUGCAACAUAGCAGCUGCUUGGUAAUGUGGGAGCAGUGUUGUCAGCAACUAAAAGCGAUCCCCAAGCAGUCAAGAUGUGAGGCCAUCCACAACGUCGUGCACGCCAUCGUUUUGCAACAGCAACAACAAUUGGUACAAGGUAUUUCCACCCAACCUCAGCAGCAACAACAACAAGGUCAACAACAACAAGGUCAGGGUUCUAGCCAGCCACAACAACAAACACAACUGGAUCAGGGUUGGAUUGCGGUGAUAGG